rnacentral:rRNA from 1 species
GAUGAACGCUAGCUACAGGCUUAACACAUGCAAGUCGAGGGGAAACGAUAGAGAAAGCUUGCUUUUUCUAGGCGUCGACCGGCGCACGGGUGAGUAACGCGUAUCCAACCUGCCCAUCACUUGGGGAUAACCUUGCGAAAGUAAGACUAAUACCCAAUGACGUCUCUAGAAGACAUCUGAAAGAGAUUAAAGAUUUAUCGGUGAUGGAUGGGGAUGCGUCUGAUUAGCUUGUUGGCGGGGUAACGGCCCACCAAGGCGACGAUCAGUAGGGGUUCUGAGAGGAAGGUCCCCCACAUUGGAACUGAGACACGGUCCAAAACUCCUACGGGAGGCAGCAGUGAGGAAUAUUGGUCAAAUGGACGAGAGUCUGAACCAGCCAAGUAGCGUGCAGGAUGACGGCCCUAUGGGUUGUAAACUGCUUUUAUAAGGGAAUAAAGUGGAGUCGUGACUCUUUUUGCAUGUACCUUAUGAAUAAGGACCGGCUAAUUCCGUGCCAGCAGCCGCGG